CAUACGAGGGUAACAUCUUCUCCAAAGCAAUAGAAGCUCUUGAAAACAAGCUGACAGGGCGUGAACCAUUUAUUUGUUGCCUAGGGAAAUAACUAGAAAAGCCAUUUCACACUUCCUUCUGGACGUCCCUUCCUACCAUAUUCUCCUAACAGCAUUCACAUCUCAUUCCCUAUAAAAUUUAUUAUAAGAGCACUCACAUCCCGUUUUGCAUCUCCACCCCAUCUUUAUAAUUUGGAAAAAAAUUACCAGUUUGGCUCAAAAAUCCUCUCCAUCCCGUUCCCCAAAAUGGGGAUGAAAAUUAGGGGUGCUACAGGAGGUCCCCAUAUUUGAGGACCCACUGUACAUCCGCAUCGCUCUCUCGCCCCAACCGUUGCCCCUUCCAGCCCGCGUCUUCUUCUCCCCCCCUCUCCCCCUCCCUCGCAACGCAGCACGGCCGGGUGACCCAGAUACUACUCCAUUUUUCUUCGGAUUUUCUCCGCUGCUUGCUUUCGCUUUCCACGGUCUGAAACCUCCCUGUUUGAUUUUGCUUUGUGGUUCAUGGAGUUUUCCUUCUGAGGUAGGGCCGAAGCUCCUUAAAUUCUCACAUUUCCUUCUGUUGGGGUUUUUUGUUUGCGAGCUUAUCUUUCUGCUAAUGCUUAAAUCUGACCGAGAACCAGCAAGAUCAGAGUUUCAGUCGCAGAUAGAUAGAGAGAAGGAAAGGGCAACGGCGCGAUCUUGACCGCAUAUCCUUGGGUUAUCUUUCCGAUUCGGUUGCAAUCGAGGUCUUACGGCCGAGAGCUCUUGAUCGAGGUACGUUUCGCGAAUAUUCAUUGGUUGAAGCUCUAAAUUUUUUAAUAAGAACAAAAACGAAGAGAUUAGAAAAAAUAGAAUCUUGGUUUUUAGAGUUUAGUUCCGUUCUCUUCUUUGUAAAUCAACUGAUUCAACGCUACUGACUGGCUUGAUUGAGUUGGAAUUCUUCAUUGAAUUCUUCAUUUGAAAUUUAAUUCCAUUCUUGUACUUCCGUCUUUUUUAGUUUUGGGGAUUCAGAUUCUAUCUCGGAAGUGAGGGUAAGUGAAAUUUUCAGUUAAGGUCUGGUAUGAAUUUCUCAGAUGACGGUGCUACAAUAUUUAGCAAUCUUCCUAUCCAACUUUGCUUUAAUUUAUGGUGCUAGUGAAAUGGGCUUUGCUCUAAUUUUUUCCAACUGUGGUUCCAGUAUCAUGUCUCGAUUUAUGGUGAAAUGAAUCCCUAUACACUCCCUGUAAGUGUUUUUUAGGGGGUAUGUAAAACAAUAUCAGUGAUAAGUUUUGCAAACUCCUUGGUACAAUAUCGGGCUUUGUUGCCAUCA